rnacentral:rRNA from 1 species
AGAGUUUGAUCCUGGCUCAGAAUGAACGCUGGCGGCGUGGAUAAGACAUGCAAGUCGAACGAAGAGAGAUUUAGUUUACUAGAGAUCUUUUAGUGGCGGACGGGUUAGUAACGCGUGAGCAACCUGCCUUAAAGAGGGGGAUAGUCCUGGGAAACUGGGUUUAAUACCGCAUAAGCCCAGCACUUUACUUGUAAAGUGCUGAGUAAAGUGGCCUUCGGGUCACGCUUUAAGAUGGGCUCGCGUCCUAUCAGCUUGUUGGUGAGGUAAAAGCUCACCAAGGCUACGACGGGUAGUUGGUCUGAGAGGACGAUCAGCAACACUGGAACUGAGACACGGUCCAGACACCUACGGGUGGCAGCAGUCGAGAAUCAUUCACAAUGGACGAAAGUCUGAUGGUGCAACGCCGCGUGUGGGAUGAAGGCCUUAGGGUCGUAAACCACUGUCAUGUGAGAGUAAGGCAUAGUAGUUAAUAUCUAUUAUGUUUGAUAGUAUCACAAGAGGAAGGGACGGCUAACUUCGUGCCAGCAGCCGCGGUAAUACGAAGGUCCCGAGCGUUAUUCGGAAUCACUGGGCGUAAAGGGAGCGUAGGCUGCGCGGUAAGUCAGAUGUGAAAUCUCAAGGCUCAACCUUGAAACUGCAUCCGAUACUGCCGCGCUAGAGUAAUGGAGGGGUAACUGGAAUUCUCGGUGUAGCAGUGAAAUGCGUAGAUAUCGAG